UGAAUCCAUAGGUUAAUGAGGCGAACCGGGGGAACUGAAACAUCUAAGUACCCCGAGGAAAAGAAAUCAACCGAGAUUCCCCCAGUAGCGGCGAGCGAACGGGGAGGAGCCCAGAGCCUGAAUCAGUGUGUGUGUUAGUGGAAGCGUCUGGAAAGGCGUGCGAUACAGGGUGACAGCCCCGUACACAAAAAUGCACAUAUUGUGAGCUCGAUGAGUAGGGCGGGACACGUGGUAUCCUGUCUGAAUAUGGGGGGACCAUCCUCCAAGGCUAAAUACUCCUGACUGACCGAUAGUGAACCAGUACCGUGAGGGAAAGGCGAAAAGAACCCCGGCGAGGGGAGUGAAAAAGAACCUGAAACCGUGUACGUACAAGCAGUGGGAGCCUCUUAAUGGGGUGACUGCGUACCUUUUGUAUAAUGGGUCAGCGACUUAUAUUCUGUAGCAAGGUUAACCGAAUAGGGGAGCCGAAGGGAAACCGAGUCUUAACUGGGCGUUAAGUUGCAGGGUAUAGACCCGAAACCCGGUGAUCUAGCCAUGGGCAGGUUGAAGGUUGGGUAACACUAACUGGAGGACCGAACCGACUAAUGUUGAAAAAUUAGCGGAUGACUUGUGGCUGGGGGUGAAAGGCCAAUCAAACCGGGAGAUAGCUGGUUCUCCCCGAAAGCUAUUUAGGUAGCGCCUCGUGAAUUCAUCUCCGGGGGUAGAGCACUGUUUCGGCAAGGGGGUCAUCCCGACUUACCAACCCGAUGCAAACUGCGAAUACCGGAGAAUGUUAUCACGGGAGACACACGGCGGGUGCUAACGUCCGUCGUGAAGAGGGAAACAACCCAGACCGCCAGCUAAGGUCCCAAAGUCAUGGUUAAGUGGGAAACGAUGUGGGAAGGCCCAGACAGCCAGGAUGUUGGCUUAGAAGCAGCCAUCAUUUAAAGAAAGCGUAAUAGCUCACUGGUCGAGUCGGCCUGCGCGGAAGAUGUAACGGGGCUAAACCAUGCACCGAAGCUGCGGCAGCGACACUAUGUGUUGUUGGGUAGGGGAGCGUUCUGUAAGCCUGUGAAGGUGGCCUGUGAGGGUUGCUGGAGGUAUCAGAAGUGCGAAUGCUGACAUAAGUAACGAUAAAGCGGGUGAAAAGCCCGCUCGCCGGAAGACCAAGGGUUCCUGUCCAACGUUAAUCGGGGCAGGGUGAGUCGACCCCUAAGGCGAGGCCGAAAGGCGUAGUCGAUGGGAAACAGGUUAAUAUUCCUGUACUUGGUGUUACUGCGAAGGGGGGACGGAGAAGGCUAUGUUGGCCGGGCGACGGUUGUCCCGGUUUAAGCGUGUAGGCUGGUUUUCCAGGCAAAUCCGGAAAACCAAGGCUGAGGCGUGAUGACGAGGCACUACGGUGCUGAAGUGACAAAUGCCCUGCUUCCAGGAAAAGCCUCUAAGCAUCAGGUAACAUCAAAUCGUACCCCAAACCGACACAGGUGGUCAGGUAGAGAAUACCAAGGCGCUUGAGAGAACUCGGGUGAAGGAACUAGGCAAAAUGGUGCCGUAACUUCGGGAGAAGGCACGCUGAUAUGUAGGUGAAGCGACUUGCUCGUGGAGCUGAAAUCAGUCGAAGAUACCAGCUGGCUGCAACUGUUUAUUAAAAACACAGCACUGUGCAAACACGAAAGUGGACGUAUACGGUGUGACGCCUGCCCGGUGCCGGAAGGUUAAUUGAUGGGGUUAGCGGUAACGCGAAGCUCUUGAUCGAAGCCCCGGUAAACGGCGGCCGUAACUAUAACGGUCCUAAGGUAGCGAAAUUCCUUGUCGGGUAAGUUCCGACCUGCACGAAUGGCGUAAUGAUGGCCAGGCUGUCUCCACCCGAGACUCAGUGAAAUUGAACUCGCUGUGAAGAUGCAGUGUACCCGCGGCAAGACGGAAAGACCCCGUGAACCUUUACUAUAGCUUGACACUGAACAUUGAGCCUUGAUGUGUAGGAUAGGUGGGAGGCUUUGAAGUGUGGACGCCAGUCUGCAUGGAGCCGACCUUGAAAUACCACCCUUUAAUGUUUGAUGUUCUAACGUUGGCCCGUAAUCCGGGUUGCGGACAGUGUCUGGUGGGUAGUUUGACUGGGGCGGUCUCCUCCUAAAGAGUAACGGAGGAGCACGAAGGUUGGCUAAUCCUGGUCGGACAUCAGGAGGUUAGUGCAAUGGCAUAAGCCAGCUUGACUGCGAGCGUGACGGCGCGAGCAGGUGCGAAAGCAGGUCAUAGUGAUCCGGUGGUUCUGAAUGGAAGGGCCAUCGCUCAACGGAUAAAAGGUACUCCGGGGAUAACAGGCUGAUACCGCCCAAGAGUUCAUAUCGACGGCGGUGUUUGGCACCUCGAUGUCGGCUCAUCACAUCCUGGGGCUGAAGUAGGUCCCAAGGGUAUGGCUGUUCGCCAUUUAAAGUGGUACGCGAGCUGGGUUUAGAACGUCGUGAGACAGUUCGGUCCCUAUCUGCCGUGGGCGCUGGAGAACUGAGGGGGGCUGCUCCUAGUACGAGAGGACCGGAGUGGACGCAUCACUGGUGUUCGGGUUGUCAUGCCAAUGGCACUGCCCGGUAGCUAAAUGCGGAAGAGAUAAGUGCUGAAAGCAUCUAAGCACGAAACUUGCCCCGAGAUGAGUUCUCCCUGACUCCUUGAGA
rnacentral:rRNA from 1 species